rnacentral:lncRNA from 1 species
ACCAAAAUGCGUUCAAAUUUGUUACAAUAACGAUAUAUACAAUCCAAUGUUCAAACAUUUCAUCCUUAAUAUCGAGGAUUUAAUUUUGUUGUUCUUUUCGUUAAUUAGUCAGAAGAUAAAGAAACAUAUCGAUGGUUUUUUUUUUUUUUCUUUUUUUUUGUUGGAAUUUUUUAGUUGCUUCCUAGCUUACUUCAUCUUAUCCAAUGUGGAAAAAGUAAAC